UACUGACACUUGUGUCUCACUGUAGUGUGUGUACCAUAAUUUUAUUCAACUGAAACUAUUUAUAGAACAUGUUACUCUAGUGCUAUAUCCCUUUUAGUUAACACUUCUAACAAAUAUCCUAUUUUUCUGUUUUAUUAUACCUCCAUAACUAAGAUAACUGCUUUCUAAGUGUAGUGUUAUUCAUUCCAACUAACAUUAUGGAAAAUACCAAGGGAAUGGCUAAUUUUAGCCCAACAUAGCUCAACUGGAAAAAUGAUCCAUGCAAGGAUAUGUAAGUGUACGAUUUAUAUUCCCUUGGCAAUUCUCCACAAGUUGCAGUUUAGUGAAUAACCCAAAUAGUAUUUUUGAUGGUGUGUACUAAAGCAUUCAUGUUUCUAAUUACACAGUCUUGUGCAUGCAAACUGUGAAAAUAGAAGAGUGCCUUUAAGAACUUGACAGUUUGUAUACGUGACAGCACUUCUGGUGACAGAGAUAGGAUUGCAUAAAUAUGGUAUAAAACUACAUUAUAAGUGUGGGAUGUUUUGAUUUGGAUACUGUAGUUCCAGUUUAUUGGUUGGAAAUAAUAUAAUGGUUUGCUCCAAUCCUUUUUAUAAGAUGAUGUAUGUAUCUUUUAAAUACAUAUGUAGGAAAGCCAGAUCCUAUUAAUAAAAUUAUAGAACUCAAUAAACCUUGUAGGCUAUGAGCCCAUACAUUAUGAUGGAUGUGUGGCUACAUUUCACCGUAUCUGGAUAUAUUUAGUUUUGCUGUGAUAUUUAUUACUAUCUUUCUAGCUGUGUGUGUGUGUGUGUGUG